CCCUCAGAACUGAUGUCACCAUACUAAUUAGCCCUUAAAUGAAGCCCCGUGUCAUUGGGAGUGGUUUUUACACUAUCACUGAAAUUGAUUAUCUUUUGUAUGAAGUGCCAGGGUGAUAGGCAGUGAGGUGCAUUGCAAACAAAUGGCCCAAUCCUGUCAACUCCCACGUGCCCUCUGUCAUUUAUGUAGUCCCUCUUAAUCCUGGAAGAUGCAACAGGCACCUUGAGACUCAUCCCUUUUGGCAGGGUCCCGUAAGCUAGCUAGGCUGCGUCUGCUUCACUAGCUUUGUUUGCAGAAGUUGAAACCAAGUGGAAAAUAGUCCCACCAGCUCCUCGCUGUUCAGAUUUGUCCCCUGAUUGUUCAUCUUGGCAAAGGAUCGAAACUUGUUGCUGGACAUGCUUUCACCAAAGCAGUGCAAAAGAAGGAGGGAAGUCAUGUUUCAACUGCACCCAUCCCAGAAAGCUAAUCUCCUGCAUACUAUCAAUCCAGUCCUGAAUAUCUAUGUCACAACCACUAAGCAGACUGUGUUCUUACACAAAUUACCAGAACACGUGACUGCUCACAGCCAAGCAGCUGCUAUUGUUCUCUGCCAUUUCUAAGGGCUCAACUGUACAGUCACUAGACAAAGAUCAGGCUAAACAAGGCCUAAAAGAAACAAGCAGACAGAUUCAUCCACAGUUACAAGGACCAAGAGCGUAAGAAGCAAACAAUUUUUUGGAUCCAAAGUAGUAUAGAGGAGGAGUUGUACUAGAAGAUCCCAUGGAAAUGACAUUAACAUAUUUGUAACUGAAUCUGUAAAGAGGGUGGUUUGAGCAUUACAACAGGAACAGAGAUGACAUUUAGCCAGCCACAAGCCUGCCAGCUUGAGGAGAUCUAACACUGCCUGUCAGAGGAGGUGAUGGAUUUCAGACAGGAGCUAUGACAGCAUUUCUAACACACUGAGUGGCACCCUGUGAGUGUUCAUCUAACGUGUUCACCAUGUGACCACAGAAACUGGGAUCGAAAUUCUUCUUGUAAGUGCAAUUCCUCUAUUUUGUCACCUCUUAAACUACCGUAUGACCAGAUGGGAAGUCACUGCACUGAAGCAAAGCCUCAUCUGGAACAAGGAAGGGAUUUUUUCCUUUGGCCAUGGCCAUUCCCACUGGAAUCCUGCAGUACUGCAGAGCCACUUCUCCCCACAACCAACCUCCAGACAGUUUCAGCUCUUACACAUAGCAAUCAGUGUUAUCAGUUGGAUGCAUCUCUUGCCGUUUUGCAGAUUAAUUUAGGAAGACAUGCUGUGCAGAGAUUCUUCAGAGAUGCAUGGAAGAAAUGUUCAGGAAAGAAGACGAUAGGACCCUGCUGGCUCUGCUCUCAGCAUUCGUGGGCGCCAUCUGGCGGUCCUUUAUUAAUUAUUGUAAUAUUUUAUGAUAUAUGCCCUGAUCAAAACGACUUGGUCUUGAUGGUGAAAAUGACUCUAAGCCUGAAGUUGUUCUGACCAGACUGUGGUCCACCUUCUCAGUAUGAGCUAAAAACAUACGUCAUGCCAAGAUCUGGACUCCCAGCCACGAAUCCGUACUACCCUGCAACUCAGAAGCACAUAGAUGUGACGUUUUACUAUAUGCCUACCCCUGGGCUAGACUUACCAUCCCUGUGCUGAUAAUGGAAGCACAUUUCUAGAAAGAACAAGCUGGUGGAUGUAUAGGUCUCUGUCAGCCAAAACCCAAUGGAAUAAAUACCUCUAAGAGUCAGAUAAUCCCAUUAGGCUCUAGAGAACUAAGGUAUAGUUCAUGUGUGAAAAACGGAAUGUAAAUUUACGGAUGGAUGAAUCAGGGGGAUUUCCAGAACCAUUUCUGAACAGGAAGACCACUUAGCUGGCCUUCUUCAAAAAGAAUUUCUGUCACAUGCAGGCCCUGGAAUGAGGAAGAAAUUUGGCUCUGAUGUUCUCUGCCGAUGACACAAAACUCAAUUUGGAAAUGCAAGCUAAUGAAAAAUACAAACACGUUCCCACAACCACAGCUAUGAAGACAAAUCAAGUAUACUCACUGAAUGGAAAUUAGAAGUAUUUUUAAUAGCUGGGUGUAGCAGCAGUAUGUGUACAGCUAUUGUGGGAUUAUAUCAUCCCAAAUAUGUUUUUACCAAAGGAUCAGCUCCAAGAAUAACUAAAACCAGCACUGCAUGCAUCUCAGGGUAAAGAGGGUUUAGGUAUGUGCAACUAAUAAGAGAUGUAUAAAUCCUUAUGCACAAAAAUACUUAUGCCCAUACUUGGUGCUGAAGGAUAAUUCUGAAUAUAACCUCUCUAUUCAGACAUUUCACAAGCAGCUGUCAGAUCCUGAUUGCACUGCAGAUUCCAGCCUGGAAUGCAACUUCUUGGAUUCGAAUUCACACGACAUUACUUCUCUCUGAGCCUAAUGUAAGAUACGGACCUACUGCAAAUGCAGGGAAAGCAGUGCUUUCAUAAAAGCUGUGCUUUCAUAGCAACGCAAUGGUUGUGC
ensembl:lncRNA